GGCCGGUUUGCUCAGCUGGUUAGAGUGUGGCGCUAAUAACGUCAAGGUCGCGGGUUUGACCCCCGUAUGGGCCA